CAGUGAAGGGGUGGAGUUUCCAGUGUGUCAGAGGAAGCAGCUCCAGCAGCAGAGAAAGGAGGGGGGUCAGAGCAAGCCGCCCUCCCGGAAGGGGAGGGGAGCAGUGAAGGGAGUAGUGUAACUGUCAAAAGGAAAGUUAGAGGUUUGGCGCGCGCGCCUAGUUCAAAUGUAGAGGCGCGCGGAAAUGCAGGGAGUCCGGAGGAGGGGCCAGGUCCCAAAGCCCGCAGGAGGGGGGAAGAGCAGUCUGGGGAUUCAGCGUCAGAGGAAUCCAGAAGGGGCGCAACCCCAGGGGGCAGAAGGACCCUGCGGAAAAGGAAGGAGAGAAAGAGGUGGAGCAGCGCAAGUCUCUUAAAUUGGUGCAGAGGAGGAACUGACUCAGAAGGGGACUUCGGCGGUCUAGCGUAAGAGACGUAAGGCUGCGCGCCUAGGAUGUCAAGCAACCAUGAACUGCAAUAAACACCUUUGUAUACAAGAAGACGUAGG